rnacentral:lncRNA from 1 species
GAAUCAAGAUGGCCGCCUGGGACCGCUCUCAGCCCCUUCGGCCUCUACCUGAAGAGCCACGCCCCGUCUGCUACACCCAACUGAUUGGUUCCUCAAUCACAGAGAGGAAAGGCAACAUGAGGAUGACGUCAGUUACAAAUAUGGCGUUUUGGACGGGCUCGAUAGUUUGCUUGGCCUCUACUCAAGGAAUGCUGAUGGUAUAGCAAGAAGGUAUUCUGAGCAUUAUAUCAAUGGGGAAGUUCUAGAUCUUUUGCAAAGCAGGAGGCUGGAGUGCAAUGGUGCGAUCUUGGCUCACUGCAACCUCUGCCUCCUGGGUUCAAGUGAUUCUCCUGCCUCAGCCUCCCGAGUAGCUGGGAUUACAGGCGCCCGCCACCUCACCUGGCUAAUUUUUUUGUAUUUUUAGUAGAGAUGGGGUUUCACUGUGUUGGCCAGGCUGGUUUUGAACUCCUGACCUCAAGUGAUCCUCCACCUUGGCCUCCCAAAGUGAUAGGAUUACAGGUGUGAGACACCUUGCCCAGCUGAUGUUUCACUUUCACACCCCAUAUCCAGUCAGACAAAAAAUCUUGUUGGCUCUACCUUUAAAAUUUUAUUAAGAACCUGACUACUCUCCUCCUCUGUUAUAAUAAACCUUGUGCAAGCCACCACUAUCUCUUGUUUGGAUAACUGCAGUAGCCUCUGUGGUGGACACUUCUAAAAUGGCCCCCAGUGAUUUCUGCCUUCUGGUAUUCACACCUUUGCAUAAUCCCUUCCCUUUCAGAAACAGCUGGACUUAGUGACUUUCUUCUAAGGCAUAGACUAUGACAAAAGUUGUGGGAUGUACUUCUGAGAUUAGAGUAUAAAAGACUGUGACACCUCUGUUUGUCUCUCUGUUUUUCUUUCUCUUUCUCUGCCUCCCUCUCUUUUCUGUUUGCUUGCUGUGAUGAAGCAAGCUGCCCUGUUGUGAGCUCUCCGGUGGAGAGCCCCACAUGGCAAGAAAAUGAGAAGCCCCCUGAACAGACAAGAGCUGAGGCCCAGGAUACAAUAUCCUGAAAAAAACUGAAUCCUGCUGACAGUUGCCCAAGUGAAGCUGGAAGUGGAUCUUUCUGCAGUGGAUCCUUGAGAUGACUGUAGCCCUGGCUGACAACUUGAUUGCUGCCUGUGAAGGACCCUGAACCAGAGGACUCAGCGAAAUUGUGCCCAGAUUCCUGACCUACAGAGGCAGUGAGAUAAUAAAUGCUGUUGAGGUCACAAAGUUUUGAGGUAUUUGUUAAUACAGCAAUGGAUACUUAAUACAGCUUCCUACAUGGUCUCCCUCCUUCGACCUUUACACUACAAUCUGUCGUCCACACAGCAGUCAGAGAUCCUUUUAAAACAUAAGUCAGAUCAUCAUGACACUCACCUCCCUGCUAAGUGUCCUGCAAGGCCUUUCACGGUCUGAUCCCCUAUCCUUUCUCUUUCCUCAUCUCCUAUCACUCUUGCCCUUGCAAAUUUUCUUCCAGCACUCUGGCCUCCUUGCUGUUCUUCAGUAUGGCAAGCAACCUGCUGCCCGGAGCCCACACACUGACUGUCCCCUCUCCUAGGACACUCUUCCCUCAAGGGCUCCCAUAUCUUGCCUGCUGGCUCCUGCAUCUUCUUCAAGUCUGCUCAAAUGUCACCUUCUCAGUGAGGCCCAUCCUGGCUAUCCUCUUUCAGUUCUGACAGAAAAUAAUUUAUUGCUUUAUUACAUCAUUAUUUUGUUGUCUUCCCUCCGUCUGUUCCUACUAAAAUUUAAUCUCUGAGAAAGCAGAAAACGUUGUCUUGUUCUUUCCUGUAACCCAAGUGCCUUGAACAUUGCCUCAUUAAUUGCUUGCGCUCAGUAAUAUGUGUUGAAUAAAUGGGUUAAGUAGUUUAUUAAUUGUGAAACUAAAUCCUGUCUGAAAGGUUUGGAGCAGCUUGUUGAAAUAGCAAAUGGAGAUUCUGUGUUUUAAGUUGUGGCUAAGGUAGAAUCAUCCAUGAUGUAUGUGGAGCCAGCUCCUGUGUCCUGGACUUAAACAUCUGUAUCUGACGUGUGGGUAAUUAUAUUGCUAUCCUACACCUUUGACCCAUUCAUCUCGGCUCACCUGUGAUCCAGGCUAUGCUACUAAAGUUGGGUGAGAGAGUCUGCAACACAAGGAAAACAUAGAGCCAUCAUUUAGUAAAUCAAA